GUUGAGAUAGCCGAGUUGGUCUAAGGCGCCAGAUUAAGGUUCCGGUCCGAAAGGGCGUGGGUUCAAAGCCCACUCUCAACA
rfam:Gossypium hirsutum cultivar TM-1 unplaced genomic scaffold scaffold251.1, whole genome shotgun sequence